CUAUUAGGUUAGUACGAAUAUGAAUGCGAAUACGAAUACGAAUACGAAUAGAAAUAGGACUACGAAUGCGAAAUAACGGCUUUGGAUGACACCAAGACUUCGGAUAUACAGUUAGUGUACGCCUUAAAUGUCACUAGAGUUUCGAAUUUAAUACGAAAGUAUGCCUCUGGACCUCUACUGAGUUUCGAAUACAUGCGCCUUAGAAUGUCGCCAAAGAUACGAAAAUACAACUAAUGUACUCUUUUGGAAAUCAUCAGAAUAAUCGAAAAUACUGUAAUGUACGUUUCUGGUGAAUCCAAAUAUUCGAAAAUACAACUAAGUUAGUAGAUGAUAGACAUUCGAAUGUAGGAUAACUAAGAGUUUAGAAUACUUAACUAAUACUGCAAGUAUGGUAAUCAUUAGUACUUCGAAAUCAAACUUAAGAACCAACCUCAACACAUAGGAAAAUAUGGGAUUUUCCUGAAGUAACAUAACAACUAGUAACGAGAUUAGAAACGAAUAGACAACACAUCACAUAGGAAAAUAUGGGAUUUUCCUUGGGUAGCAUAAUCACUCAUAUUCGAAUAAAGUAACAAACGAAUAACUAAACUAUUAGAAAAUAAGGGAUUUUCUGGAAUGACAUAACAAACCGUUUUCGAAUUUGUAACAAAAGAUAACUAAACUGUUUUCAUAAGAAAAUAUGGGAUUUUCUUGAACAACAACUUUUUAAGAAAGCAAAGGAAACUCAUUCUUUUCAAAACUAAAUGGCUUAUGAACUCACCAGCUUUAUGCUGAUUUUCAAACUGCUUGUAUUCUCAGGUCAGCGUUAGACAGGUACACCACCAUCUUUUGGAGAAGACGGAGCGUUCCGAAGACUCGUCUUUGCUUUUGUUCAUAUGAUANAACACUUGUAUAACUUUUCUUUCAAACAGAUGUAAACAAUAUUAUGUAAUGUAAUGUUUUGUGUUUACUGUUUUACUAUGUGCAUUGGAUUUGAUACUCAACGUGGAGUCAACCCCGGAAAUGUUUCCGCCUUUGGUUUUCGGGGUGUGACAGAUUGGUAUCAGAGCCCUUGUUUAUAGUGAACUAGUAUACCAAAGCUUACAUGGUAUAAGACUAUAAACAUUAAGGGGCCUAAGUGCUCUGAACUAAAAGUAUACUCUACAAAUAUAAGUAUUUUCUAAAGUAUACAAGUAUACCGAACCGUCGAAAUCCGUAACUACAAGUAGAACAAAAUAUAAGUAAAUGGGUGUUGUACGCUGCGGUUAAACCUGGGCAGUUAUGUAGGCGUGUCUAGGAUCAAUAUAGCCUGGCCAACUAUAUUCAUUCGAGACACGGCCAACAUGUGCUUGGGAGUGACUGUGGUACGCAGCAUACCUAAAAGUUACCCAAUACCCCAAACAACGAGCCGCCGUCGCAGCGAACCAUGAAAUACUAUGGGAGUAUUUCUCGAGCCGAUCCGUUGUAGAAGUCCUCAUUCAAGCGUUGUUCCUUGAUCAUUCCUUUAGCGAUAAAUUAUUUGCUUUGAUGACUCCUUCCUGUUUUAUCGCUUAAUGUUAUAUUUGUCUUGAUGAGAUAUCCCUUGAUCCAUAUCUCUUGAUUCAAUUCAGAGGACUUAUGAUCCUCUCUUUCUUGAUCUUUUUAGAUCAAGAUGCCUCCGAGGAAAAGACCCAACUCAAAGACUAACAACCCUCCAUCGCCACCACCUCCUCUUCAAAUCGAUCUGGAAACACUUCAGGCAGCCAUUACUGCCAUAAUAUCAGCCAGCCUGCCUCAACUAAACCCCAGUGGUUCAGGGGGUGGUUCCCAAACCCAAAACCCGGAAGGUAAUCAGGGACACCGGAAGGAGUGUUCCUAUAAAGACUUUAUGAACGCAAAACCCACAUUCUUCGAUGGCACAGGGAGUGUCAUUGCUCUAACUCGGUGGUUAGAGAAAAUCGAAUCUAUCUUCGAGAUUUAUGCUUGUUCGGAAUCCGACAAGGUAAAAUUUGCCGCCUAUACGCUCAUCGAUAAAGCUUUGACUUGGUGGAAUGGCCGAGUCAAAUCCUUGACUCUACUUGUAGCCAAUGCUAUGGGAUGGGAAGUUAUGAAGGAACUUCUGCAGGCGGAGUAUUGCCCUCGGGGUGAAAUCCAGAAGCUGGAGCAUGAACUCUGGAACCUGAAGAUGAAAGGUUCUGAUAUCGCCGCUUACACAUCCAGAUUUGAUGACUUAGCAUUGCUUUGUCCGGGGUUAGUUACCCCGGAGAGCAAAAAGAUUGAGAGGUUCAUCUGGGGAUUAACCCAUCCAACAAAAGGGAAUGUUAUAGCGGCAAAGCCAGAUACCUAUGACAACGCCAAAUGUCUAGCACAAACCCUGAUCGAUCACAAUGAUGACCAAGAAUAAGCAGACACCACUCCCGAGCCAACAGAAAAGAGUGGCGAGAAAAGAAAGUUUUCGAAAAAGAAGAAGAAGAGUCAGUCUUCUACAGAACCCUCAAAGAAACAGCAGAUAGUGGCAGUCCACGCUGCCACUACCCCUGUCGCUGUAUCUGUUCUACGUUCCUCAGCUCAAGCACCUAUCACCGGAUAUGCCGGUAUCCUCCCAUGGUGUAAACGAUGUAGCUACCACCAUCGCAUCCUUGGCCCUUGUUGUGCAAUGUUUUGUAAAAGAUGUGGCCAGGAAGGUCACCUCGCGCGAAGUUGCAAAACCGCAACCCAACCAACUAGUCAAGGUUCCGGAGCUGGUAUCGGUCAAACCUGCUACAGUUGAGGAGAGGUUGGGCAUUAUAAACGAAACUGUCCUAAGACAGUAAGAUUUGGCAACACCGGGAGAGUCCUGACUAUGGGACAAGAAAGGACGGCCGCCAACCCCACCGUUGCCACAUGUAUAUUGUUUCUCGAUGAAUCUUGUGCCCGUGAUCCUUUUCAAUUCUAAUGCUGAAAGAAUUUGCUAACCAUUCGUUCAAAUAUCUUUCUAAACUAAAUCCUUCAUUAGUAAUCGAAACGUGUACCAUCGAGACGACCAACCAGUGAGAAAGAGAACGUUAAUGUCAUACCCUUAGAUCUUAUCCUCAAUUCGGAUGAUUAUUCCUUUCCAUUCGAUCUAAUGGUAAACUUUUCGUGAAAAGCUUUGAUGCGAUCAUUGGCAUGUAAUGACUGAGUCUCAUUCAUGCUGUUAUUCUUGUUUUCGAAAGGGUCAUCCGUCCGAAUCUUUCUUCUGACCCGACUCUCAUGAUUCUCGGCAUCAAACCUAAAUCCAACCUUCGCAUCUUCGUGUAUCAAAGCUUAGAAAGUUUCCCAUGCAUUCCUCGUCCGUGUGAUAUUCAGGAAACGAAAAGUCUACAACUCUUUUCCCAAUGCGUUUCCCGAAAAUUCUCGAAAAUUCCUUCCGAACGUCUCGUCAAGUCUCAUAUCGACCUAAUCCCUGGAACUGCUUCGUAGCCGGACCUCCGGGAGGAUGAUGUAUCCAAUACAGCGACUAGGACCUGAUCACCACGAGUUCGUAGUGGUGCCCUUCGGUCAAACCAUUUUCCUUGGUUAUGUGGAUAAGCAAAGCAGCUAUACCCGUGAUCCUUCCAAAAGCUAAGACAAUAGGGAACAAGUCGGCACCAGAGAUACCUAUAGAAACCUGUAACUUAGUAACAUUAGACCCUUCGCGAUCCUCGUAGGAUCGAUUCCAUAACCUUCAAACUUCGGCUACCCUCAGAACUUAGUAACAUUCCUCUGGUACUUCACAUCUCAAUCCUUAAGAAGUAUCUACCCAACGAAACCAAAACGCGUCCCGAUAUUGAGGGUUCGCUGGAACGUCAAGCGGAGACCCGAUUCCAAUAGGAAGCGUGAAAACUCGGAGCAGCAAAUCCAUCCAUAUCUCAUUCCAAUUCAUGUUCGAUAUCUUAAUCUUCGAAUUUCGGGACGAAAUUCCCUCUAACGGGGAGAUAAUGUAACAACCUGAAGUUGUCCAUCGCCGAAACCCGUUCUACCCGUAAAACUCGCCGUUUAUCAAUUCGUUCCGAUUUCGUUUUUGGGUUAAAUUAUUUAAACUUAUAUGAUUAAUUAAUACUAAUGAGUGUCUAAAACCUUUAGGAACUCAUGAAAUUAGCCCAAAAUGUUUAUUUCAGAGACUUUAGAAACGUCCCCGCCGGGUUACGGAAACUUAAUCGGGUGCGACCAACAGCCCCGUUUAAUGCCGGUAUUGGGUAGAAUUUCAUCGUGUCCAAGUUUUGGGACCUAUUUAAACGUGUUCAAGCUUUCAUUUGAAGCUUUUGCUUAAUCUCUCUACUCUCUCUCUCUAACCUCUCUCCGAAAUUCAAGUUUAAGGGUCCAAGUCUCAAAUUUAAGUCUUCUAAUCACCAAGGUAGCUUCCCUAACUUGUUAUACAACCCCUCUAGCCUUCAAAUUCGAGUUUAAACCAUGGAUUAGGACCAUUAUCAUGAGUUUACGGCCCUAGAACAGUCCUAGGCCGUAAACUCAUAUAAAUGGGGUUUUUGGAGCAACAAAACCCUUCCAAACCACAAUUAGACCUUAGAUAUGGCUAGAUGACUUUAUGGAAUGGACUUAGAAUGCCUUAAACCAUGAUUUAUAGCCUUUUUCAUGUCUUUACGGCCCUGGAGCAUGCUUGGGCCGUAAACACAUAUAAAUGGGGUUUUUAUGCCCUUAAACUCUUCCAAAACACCAAUAAGGCUUAGAUACGACUUGUAGAAUUAUGGAUUUGGCCUUGGAACACCUUGAACAUCAAUUUAGAGGAGUAAACUUGAGUUUACUGCCCAACAACAAGCUUGGGCCAUAAACUCAUAUUCUUGUGGAGUAAACUCCUCUAAAUGUGUUAAGAUGCCACUUAAACACACCUUAAGCCUUGGGAUAAAUUCUAGAAGUGACCACAAACAAGAAUUGGACCUUAAAACAUAAUAAAACACCCAUUUAGGGAGUUCACGACCAUGAGGGGGUUCAUGGGCCAUAAACUCCUAAAGUCAUGCCAAAAGUCCCCCAAAAAUUGAUAUAAGGCUUGGGAAAAAUCAUUGGAAUCACAUGUGAUUGUUUAAGGACCAAAACUUUAAGGAUUCGAUGGGGGGGGGGGGGAGUUUACGGCCGUAAACUCCAUGUUUACUGCCGUAAACUCCAAUAAAUGGUAUUUAAAUAAGUCUAAAUUCAUCCUAAUGCCCUAGAUAAAUUCCUAGCUAAAUUAUCCUCGUAUUUUGAAACCAUUUUGCAUCCAAAAGCACCCUCCAUGAGUUCACGGCCGUGAACUCAUGUGGAUGGGGUAUUUAGGGCAGUAAACUCCUUAAGGAGUUUACUCUUGAAGAGUAAACUCCAUUCCCUAGUCAUACAAGUCCUUAAAUGGCACCCGGGUCCUUCCAAACACUUGUAAUGGGAUGUUUCCGCAACUAGAAGCGUAUGUCCCUAACAAGUAGAUUAAUCAAGUCCUAAUUAGAUACAAAUGUGUAUCAUUUCAUAAUCCAUAGGAAUCUUGUGCGUUCGCAAACCCAGAACUGAUGUUUAGGAUCCAAACUGACGAGUUUCUCAACCGGUGAGUUCAUACCCCUACCCUUUUUCAAAUGUUUUUCAAAUGUUUUCAGGGGGGGGGGAUACAAGCAAAAGUACAAGGAAAUCUUGUACUUAAACUUAUUUUCAGUUCAAUGUUUCAUUUUAUGUAUGUUUCUAAUUUCAAAAUUUGUGUAACUAAUGGUUCGAAUUGCAGGGUAAACAGUUAGACUAAAGUCAGAUUUCUUUAAAAAGUGUUUUAAACUAUAUUACUUUAUGUAAAAGAAAUCAUACUAAUCAUAACUAAGAUUAAUACUAAAUGAAUACGAAUGCGAAUAUGAAUAUAACCAAUAGGAUAGUACGAAUACGAAUAUGAAUACAAAUACGAAUAUAACCAAUAGUAUAGUACGAAUACGAAUACGAAUACGAAUACGAAUGCGAAUAUGAAUAUAACCAAUAGAAUAGUACAAAUACGAAUAUGAAUACGAAUAUGAAUACGAAUACGAAUAUAACCAAUAGUAUAGUACGAAUACGAAUACGAAUAUAACUAUUAGGUUAGUACGAAUACGAAUGCGAAUACGAAUAUAACUAAUAGGAUAGAACAAAUACGGAUACGAAUAGAAAUAGGACUACGAAUGCGAAAUAAAGCCUUUGGAUGACACCAAGACUUCGAAUAUACAGUUAGUGUACGCGUUGAAUGUCACCAGAGUUUCGAAUUUAAUACGAAAGUACGCCUCUGGACCUCUACUAAGUUUCGAAUACAUCCGCCUUAGAAUGUCGCCAGAGAUACGAAAAUACAACUAAUGUACUCUUUUGGAAAUCAUCAUAAUAAUCAAAAAUACUGUAAUGUACGUUUCUGGUGAAUCCAAUUAUUCGAAAAUACAACUAAGUUAGUAGAUGAUAGACAUUCGAAUGUAGGAUAAUUAAGAGUUUAGAAUACUUAACUAAUACUGCAAGUAUGGUAAUCAUUAGUACUUCGAAAUCAAACUUAAGAACCAACCUCAACACAUAGGAAAAUAUGGGAUUUUCCUGAAGUA
rnacentral:lncRNA from 1 species